rnacentral:lncRNA from 1 species
UUUUAAAGAUCUCUCAUCUUCAAUCAGGCCAAAGGUUCCACCUUUACCAACUAAUGUAAGAUAUGGAUAUAAGAAGAUGAAGAGAUGAACAGCCAUCAGUAAGACACCCUUGUCUUCCCAGCCUCAGGAAGCUGAAAUAGAAGGGAAGCUGAGGUUGGAGUUCAUGAACUCAUGAUCAGCAUGAUCUACAGACACUACAUGACAAUAACUAUCAGGAAGAAAAGAAAACUUUUUUUUUUCUUUCAGAGCAUCAGAGGUUGACUUGUAAAACUGAAUUAUCCUAAAAAUCAUCAUAUGUGUAUAUCUAUAUAAAUGUGUAUAUGUAUAUGUAUAUGUAUAUGUAUAUGUAUAUGUAUAUGUAUAUGUAUAUGUAUAUGUAUAUGUAUAUGUAUAUGUAUAUAUAUGAGUGUGUAUAUACACUCUUUCUCCUAUGUCAGAAACACAUGCAUUUUAAUAGUAAUAUCAAAUUGAAUAAGUAUAUCUAAUAAUACAGAAUAGUAUCUAAGGCAAACAUUGGCCAUUUUUUUUUCUGUUUUAUAUUUUUGCCUAAAAUUUUUAUCUGGUCUCAAAAAGACAAUUUUUACUUGCCCACAUUCUUGUCCAAUCUCAAUCAGUCUGUAAAUUUUUCAUGCCUCUAAAUGACUUUUCUAGUGCCAGUAUUUAACAAAAUUAGUAAGAUAUAUUUAUAUAAGGACUUCAUUUUCUAUAAUUGGAGCUUGUCCUCUCAAAAUCUCCAGGUUGGUAGGUAUUUCAUAUGAAUUAUAUUUGUGCCAUCUAUAGAUAAAGAUUUUUUCAACUAUUUUUCUAUAUUUUCUGAGAAGGAUAAUUGUAAUUCCAGAGCUUUUGUAUAGCCAAGUGUUUCAGCUAUUAUUAUUUCACACUUAAUUGAAGCAGCUUGGUUCUGAAACAUAGUCCUGCCAUGAAUAUAUUAUGUAUAGUUGAGAGAUCUGUAAUAUAUUGCAACUGUCUUUCCAAUAUGUUUCUAUAUGCCUUUAGAGUUACCAAAUUAUGUUUACAUAAUCCUACUAUCUCCAUCAAGGAGCCGGAAGACUCUCAUUUGUUGAUGCCAUAUGUGAUUAAAGGAAUUGACCCAUCACCAUUCCAAUCGUGCCCCAACACACUUAGUAGGUAGGGAUGGCUGCUCUUCUGUUUCCUACUUGUCAACAUCAAGUAAGUCUAGGUAUAUAUUUGCUGAUUUUAAUAUAAAAAGAGAAUUCAGCAUUCAUUUUUCUAAAGAAGUGAAAAAAUGAAUAGGAUUGUAAUUUUUCCCUGUUGCAAAUAACUUGACUUACUUUAGGUGUCUGCCUGAUUGAUUCGCAGUGAGGGUAAGGCCUCCAUCUCAGAGUGGCUGGCUUUUCUUUUACUCUAUUCUGCAAUCCUAAACUGGAGUGUAUCUUCCCACCUUCAUAUUAUUCUUUAGAAUGUCCCUUCAGAAAUAUUCAUUUAGAAACACAAAGGAUUAACAGAAGGAGACACUUGCUGCCCCAGGAAAGAGUAGAGCUCCUUUUAGCUUUUACCACUUUCCCUCAGUUCCACCUUUCCAAGGCUUAGUAGAUUUGUAUCUUGAAUGGUAGCCUUCUGAUCAUUGUAGUCCAGAAGAUGCUUGAAAUUAGUUAACACCGCAGAACUUAGUGAACGGUCCUAGAGUCUAUUAUAGAGAUCUGAAUAUUUGUAAAGAAGAUCCUGAGGCUCUCUGCAGAGGGCCCCCAACGCAACCUACACACAGGAAGUUCUGGUAUCCAUAUUUCCUAUUUAAUAGGACCAAAUAAAUAAAAUAAUUUAAGCUGUACACAGGGGCCAGGGACUUGUAAUUCCUACAUUCUAGAUAUGGAGGCCCAUGGAAAUAAAUAAGAACU